AAGCGUGUAGUUUAACUGGUUAAAACUUGAAAUUCAUAAUUUUAAAAAAUAGGUUCAAAUCCUGUCGUGCUUA
rnacentral:tRNA from 1 species